CCACGCUUCCGGCCUUGAGGACUGCGCUUUUCAGAGGCAAAUACCUGAGAAGGCAGGCAGCUCUCUUGCGGAGUUUCUCGGUUCAUGGAGCUAAUAACUUUUUCAAGCAGGUAUAUUUAAACAUGGAGAGAAAAAAUGAUGCAUAACAACUCUAUGAGGCAAUUUAAAUGUUCAUCAAUAAGGACAUGCCUAACUAAAUAAGAAAUAAUAAUGGGAAAAAAAAGAAAUAAUAAUGGAAUACCUUCACUUUGAAAUGCUCUGUAACUGUUAAAAAGGUAGGUAUUUAUGUAGUAACAUAGAAAGAUGUCAGUAACAUAGUGUAGAAUUUAAAAAAUCAUUUUUGAGCCAGGUAUAGUUGUUCAUGCCCAUAAUCCCAGAGCUUUGGGAGGCUGAAGUGGGGGGUAUUGAUUGAGGCCAGGAGUUUGAGACCAGCCUGAGCAACAUAACAAGACCCUGUCUCUACAAAAUUUUUUUUUUCAAUCAUCCUGGCAUGGUGCUUGCCUGUAGUCCUAGCCACUGGGGAAGUUGAGGCAAGAGGAUUCCUUGAACACAGGAGUUUGAGGAUGCAGCAAGCUAUUAUCAGGCUACUGCACUCCAGCCUGGGUGACAGAGUAAGAUCGUAUUUCUAAAACAUAAAUAAAAAUUUAGAAACAUAAAAAGUAAUUUUUGUAACUAUAUUUGUAAAAAGAAUAUUUUUAUAUGGUGUGCAUUGCAAAAAGAUUUGGAAGCAUAUACUCCAGUUUUUAAACAAUGGUUACACCUGGGGUGGAAGUGGUGAUAGAAGUGGGAGAACUUUCAGCAGUCAAGAGCCACACCAUUACAUUUUAGGCUCAAAGGAAAAGGGUUUUCUGGGCAACAUGGCUCAGGUCUGACACAUCCUGGGUGCUCAACUAAUGUCUGUUAAACUGAUUAAGACAUGAUUAAAUGGACCAUGUCUUCGGUAUGUAUUGGGUAAUUUAAAGUUUUUUGCUGAUACAGUGAACGAUCACUCAUCUUUAAAAAAAUUCCACAUCUUCCUCAAAGUAUCAAAAUUGCCUGUCUGCUUUUCAGAAUAUAUAUAUAUAUAUAUUCUGAAAAAAAAAAUAUAUAUAUAUAUAUUUUUUUUUUAGAUGGGGUUUCGCUCUUGUUACCCAGGCUGGAGUGCAAUGGCAUGGUCUCGGCUCACUGCAACCUCCUCCUCCUGGGUUCAGGCAAUUCUUCUGCCUCAGCCUCCUGAGUAGCUGGGAUUACAGGCACGCGCCACCAUGCCCAGCUAAUUUUUUGUAUUUUUAGUAGAGACGGGGUUUCACCACGUUGACCAGGAUGGUCUCAAUCUCUUGACUUUGUGAUCCACCUGCCUUGGCCUCCCAAAGUGCUGGGAUUACAGGCUUGAGCCACCGCGCCCGGCCAGAAUAUUUUUUAACUGUUUUAAUGUGUAAUAUUAAGAUAAACUCCAUAUUUCUUCUGGAGAAAAUAAUUGGGCAUUUUAAAAAUUGGUGCUUGAUGACAUCAUUUUCAUUGUCAUCCCAGUGGAGAGACGGCAGUUAAAAAAAGACCCAAACUUUUUUUCCCUCAUUUUAAAAGCUCAUCAAAGAAACUGUAGAAAAUAAGAAAACGUAUAAAGAAGAAAACAAAAUUGCUUGUAAUGCACACUCCAAAGGUAACUGUUGUGAGGCUUUAAAUGUACUUAUUUCUUGUCUUUGUUUUUCUAUCUGCAGCACUUUUUUUACUACAUUUUUUAAUUGUGAUAAAAUAUACACAAUGUACCAGCCAGGCACAGUGGCUCAUGCCUGUAAUUCCAACACUUUGGAAGGCCAAGGCAGGUGGAUUGCUUGAGGCCAGAAGUUCAAGACCAGCCUGGCCAACAUGGCAAAACUUUGUCUCCACUAAAAAUAUUAGUACAAAAAUUAGCUGGGUGUGGUGGCACAUGCCUGUAGUCACAGCUACUUGGGAGACUGAGGCAGGAGAAUAGCUUGAACUAGGGAGGGGGAGGUUGCAGUGAGCUGAGAUCAUGCCACUGCACUCCAACCUACGUGACAGAGCAAGACUCUGUCUCAAAAAAAAAAUUAUGUAUAUAUACAUAUACAUGUAUACACAAACACACACACAAUGUAAAUUUUACUAUUGUUUCUAAGCAUACAAUUCAGUGGCAUUAAGUGCAUUCACACUGUGGUGCAACUGGCCUGGCUAUCCACCUCCAGAACUUUUCAACAUCCCAAACUGAAACUCUAUGUCCAUAAACAAUAACUGCCCAUUAGUCCCUCCCCCAGCCCCUGGCAACCACUCUUCUACUUUCUGUCUCUAAGAAUUGGACCUCAUAUUUCUAAGCACCUCAUAUAAGUGGAAUUAUAUAAUAUUUGUCCUUUUGUGUUUUGCUAAUUAUUAUUAUUAUUUUGAGACAGAGUUUUGCUCUUGUUGCCCAGGCCAGAGUGCAAUGGCGUGAUCUCAGCUCACUGCAACCUCUGCCUCCUGGGUUCAAGCAAUUCUCCUGCCUCAGCCUCCCAAGUAGCUGGGAUUACAGGUGUCUGCCACCACACCCAGCUAAUUUUUGGUAUUUUUCAGUAGAGACAGGGUUUCACUAUAUUGGCCAGGCUAGUCUUGAACUCCUGACCUCAGGUGAUUGCCCACCUCGGCCUCUCAAAGUGCUGGGAUUACAGGUGUGAGCCAGCCACCCAGUCUGGCCAUGUCUUGCUUAUUUUACUUAGCAUUAUGUUUUUAAGGUUCAUCCAUGUUGUAACAUGUUCCAGAAUCUCCUUCCUUUUUAAGAUUGAAUAAUAUUUCAUUGUCUGUAUAUACUACAUUUUGUUUAUUCAUUCAUCUGUCAGUAGACAUUUGGGUUAUCCCUACCUUUUGGCUGUUGUGAAUAAUGCUGCCAUGAAGAUUGCUGUACAAAUAUCUGUUUGUGUCCUUAAUUUCGAUUAUUUUUUGAAAAUACCCAGAGUGGAAUAGCUGAAUCAUGUAGUAAUUCAAUGUUUAAUGUUUUGAGGAACCACCAUACUGUUUCCAUAGCAAAUGCACCAUUUUACAUUUUGUCAGCAGUGCACAGGGUUCCAAUUUCUCCACAUCUACUUGUUAUUUCCAUUUUUCUUUUAAAGAAUAGAAACGGGGGCCUCACUAUAUUGCCUAGGCUGGUCUCGAACUCCUGACCUCCGUGUUCUGCCCGCCUCAGCCUCCCAAAGUGCUGUGAUUACAGACGUUAGCCACUGCACCCCGCCUAUUCCCAAUUUUUGAUAAUUGCUGCCCUAAUGGAUGUGAAGUGGUAUCUCAUUCUGGUGGUGUUUUUUUUUUUUUUUUUGAGACAGAGUCUCACUCUGUCUGGAGUGCAAUGGUGCAGUCUCAACUCACUGCUACCUCUGCCUCCCAGGUUCAAGCGAUUCUUCCGCCUCAGCCUCCUGAGUAGCUGGGACUAUAGGCAUGCGCUACCAUGCCUGGCUAAUUUUUGUAUUUUUAGUAGAGGCGAAUUUUCACUAUGUUAGUCAGGCUGGUCUUGAACUUCUGAUUUCGUGAUCCGCCUGCUUUGGCCUCCCAAAGUGCUGAGAUUACAGGCAGGAACCACCGUGCCCAGCCCUCAUUGAGAUUUUGAUUUGCAUUUUCCUAGUGUUUAGUGAUGAGCAUUUUUUCAUGUGAAUGUUAACUGUAUAUCUUCCUUGGAGAAAUCGCUAUUCAAGUCUUUGGCUUAUUUUUAAUUGGAAUAUUUGGUUUUUAUGUUCUUAAGUUAUAGGAGUUCUUUAUAUAUUCUAGAUAUUAAUCUCUUAUCAGAUAUAUGAUUUACAAUUAUUUUUCCCAUUUUGUGGGUUGCCUUUUCUCUCUUGAUAGUGUCCUUUGAUGCACAAAAGUGUUUAAUUUUGAUGCAGUCCAUUUUUUCUUUCAUUGUCUGUGCCUUUGGUAUCUAAUAAUUCUCUGCCAAAUCCAUUGUUAUGAAGCUCUUUCCCUCUGUGUUCUUCUAAGAGUUUUAUGGUUUUAUGUCUCAUAUUUAUGUCUUUGAUCCAUUUUGAGUUAACUUUUGUAUAUGAUAUAAUGUGGAGUCCAACUUAAUUCUUGUGUCUGGGAACAUAUAGUUUCCCUGACACCAUUUGAUAAAAAGAUUUUCCUUUCCCUAUGUGCAGCACUUUUUUGAUGCCAAAUUUAUUCUGGCUGGAACCUAAGCUGCUUCUCUGGGCUGGCCUCAGCCUCAGCAAUGUGUGCCUAAGGGAUUGCCAAGUUAUUUGGGAACACAGAGAAAACAUAAAUUCAAAUCUAGUGUGGAAGGAUGAUGACCCAGUAGAGCCUGGUGAAAGUGAUUACUGAAAUAUUGGCUAUAGAGAGCUCACUGGAACCUUGGGUAAACCAGUUUUGUUUGUUGUGAAGUAUGGAUGAUGAUAAGAAGAUCCAUCUUAUUUUUUCAAACAAUAGCAUAAAUGCUGGUAUAUUAUUAUGGUUACAUCAUUAGAAUAACUAAUGCUUAUGGGGAGUAUACUACAUACUAAGUGCUAUGUGUUAAAUGCUUUACAGAUGUUACCUUGUUUAAUACACAAACAGUUUUAUGAGGCAGGUACUAUCAUCUUUACCAUUUACCACCUCUGAGCUGCUUCGUCAUCUGUAAAAUGAGGAAAAUUACAUCUACCUUGCAGAAUGGUUGUGACGAUUACAUACAAAUAGUGAACAUAAAGGGCUUAACAAAGAACAUGCACAUAAUAGGUGCUUAACAGAUGGUAGCUCUUUUCCUUCAGUCCAGGAAAUAAUUUCCUUAAGCACAAACUACAUUAUAAGAGGAUUCUGCUUGAUUGUUAGCAAUCCUGAAUUUCUUAUACUUUUCCUUCCAGGUGAAUUAUAAUGAUUAGACUGGCCAGAUUGGAAAAAUCUGGUAUCAUUUAUUUAUGUGACUAGAAUCCUUUGUAAUCACCUACCUGUAAGGCCAAAGCAAAACAACAGUGUUUAUAGUGAGACACUAGGAAGGCUUCUACAGACAUUCAUCUAGAUGUGAAUGAGCACCAGCAACCCUUGAGAACAGCUUUAUCUUUUGGUUGAAUGUGUUAGUGGUAUUUUGACACUUCUUCAUUUGGGCUGAUAAAAUGUCAUUUUUGUAAACCCUUUUUCAUUUUACUUUGUUCACCUCCCUUAUUUAUUUUUAAAAAUAAUAGUUAUAGUGAAGAUGUACAACUCCCUGGGGCCAAACUAGAAGAAGGAAGCAGUGCUUCAAUUAGUUAAUAGGUUAAUAUAGUCCUUAGUGGUUUUAGUUAUUCUGGGUCCACUUUCUGGAUAUUUGGACAUUCAUUGGAUGGAUCACGCCACAUACUUCCUCUUUAGCUGCAGCUACUAAAUUAAUUGGCAAUGGAAUCAAGUCCUGCUCCUCAGAGGCAGCUGGGCCCUCCUUUGGAGGCUUUCUGCAGUCCCCCCCUUUUUUUGUUGCUAAUUGACUUCCUAAUUCCCCAUAGCAGUUGUUAUAAACCUUUUCCACUCUCCUCCAUCUCCUUAAUCCCCUCUUUGCUCUCAACACAGUGGCAGGUGAUCAUGCAUCCGUGAACAAUUCUUUUUCCUGCUGCCUUUGGGUUCUUUGCCAUCCUCAACUCAUCUCCCCAGAGCCUCCGUCCCCAGUUCCCCUUUUCUCUCCCCAGGGCAGGCUCCUCCCAUUAUUUCCUCUCAUAUAACUUUAAUUUCUCCUAUCCUUUUCCCUUGACCCAUAAAUAAGCUCAAGUCUUCCUCAAACUAUAGAAGCCUCAUUCAUAUUUCCCUUGAAGCUAAUCCCUUUCUCCUUUCACUAUUGUCAAGCUCUUAAUAUUUUUCAUUGCAAAAGUAAUAUAUAUUUAUAGUAGAAAAUGGAAAGUACAAAUAACCAAACAUGUUUCAAAUACUUGUAAUCACACUUCUGGAGGUAGCCACCGAGGUUCACAUUCUGGCUUAUAUCCUUCCAAUCUUAUUUCUAUGCAUACAUAAUAUUCAUUUAUUUCAACAUUGAGAGCAUUCUGGAUGUUGUAUUUUGUAAUCUGACACUUUUACUUUACCAGUAAAUAUUCUUCUGCAAAAU